AGCUCCACUGCACGUGUGGCAUUUGGGCGCUCUCUGACAGUGAUGACUGCCUUUCUGUUCAGUGUCUGAGCACUAUGAAAAUUGCACACAGGUGUCCAGAUGCAUUUCACUUUGAGAAUGUCAAUGGAUACACAAACUGUUGCUUUGGAUUUUACCGGCUGGCAGUGGCUGACCAGCUGUUUGGAAAACAGCCAAUUCAAGUGAAUAAAUGUCCUUAUUUGUGGCUCUGUUACAAUGGUAAAAUCUACAACUACAAGAAGAUCCAACAUCAUUCUGAAUUUGAAUAUAAAACCAAAGGGGAUAAUGGUGAAAUAAUCCUUCAUCUUUAUGACAAAAUUCUUCAUCUUCAUGACUAUUUAUAUGCUGGAUAGUGUAUCUGUGUUUAUUUUACUGGAUAUUGUCAAUAACAAAGUAUUACUACUGGGCAGAAAGACAUAUAGAGUUAUACCUUUGUUUAAAGUCAUGACAGAAGAUAGAUUUUUGGCUGUGUGUUUAGAAGUUCACAGUCUUGUUAUACUGGAGCACUCCAUGAAUACCUUUUUUUUUUUUUUUUUUUUGAGUUGGAUCUUCCCCAAACAUCAUGAAGUUUUAGACUUAAGGCCAAAUGGCAAAGUUGCAUCCAUGGAAAUGGAUAAAUAUCAAUACUAUAGGGAUGAAUCAGGAUGAAUCACUAUAUCUCCUCUACGACAACUUGGAGAAACUCUUCUCAGGUUUUGAGACAGAAACUGUGAAGAGCAACCUCUGGAUCCUUUUUAACAAUGCUAUGAAGAAGUGUCUGAUAACAGAAAGAUUGGCUGCCUUUCAUCAGGAGGCUUGGACUCCAGCUUGCUUGCUGCCACUCUGUUGAAGCAGCAAAAAAAGGCUCAAGUACAGUACACUCUCCAGACAUUUUCAAUUAGUGUGGAAGACAACCUUGAUUUAUAGGUGUCUAGAAAGGUAACAAAUCCUAUUGGAAGUGGACAUCACGAAGUCCUCUUUAACUCUAAAGAAGGUAUUCGGGUUCUAGAUGAAGCUACGUUUUCCCUGGAAACUUACAUUUUGUGCUUCGUAGAUAUGUAUUUAAUUUCCAAGUAUAUUUGGAAGAACAGAUAAAAUUAGGGUUAGGGUGAUCUUCUCUGGAAAGAGAUCAGAUGAACUUGCCCAGGGUAAUAUGUAUUUUUCACAAGGCUUCCUCUGAAAAAGCCAAGGGGGAGCAUGAGAGGCUGGCUAAAGGAACUCCGUUUGAUGGUCUCCAAGAAGAUGAAACUACUGCUGCCCAUGGACUUGAACUGAAAGUCCCAUUUCUGGAUCAUAGAUUUUCUUCGUAUUACUUGCCUCUGGCCCAGAAAUGAGAAUUCCAAAGAAUGGGACAGAAAAACAUCUGAGAGAAACAUUUGAGGACUAUAAUCUGACACCUAGAGAGAUUCUCUGGAGACAAAAAGAAACCUUUAGUGAUGCAAUAACAACAGUAAAAACUCCUUAAGAUUUUACAGGAAUAUGUUUAACAUCAGGUUAAUGAUGUAAUAAAGGCAGAUUCAGCCCAGAAAUUUCCCUUCAAUACUCCUAAAACCGAGGAAGCCUGUCAUUACCAUUAAAUCUUUGAAUACCACUACCUAGACUGGGCUGACUGGCUUGGCCUUUACCGGCUGCCCAAGUAGAUCAGUGCUACUGACCCUUCAGGCCACACACUGACCCACUACAAGCCAACUGACAAAGCUUUAGGCAUUCUCAAAGCUACAAAGUGA